rnacentral:rRNA from 1 species
UACGUAGGGGGCGAGCGUUGUCCGGAUUUAUUGGGCGUAAAGAGCUCGUAGGCGGUUUGGUAAGUUGGAUGUGAAAUCUCCAGGCUCAACUUGGAGGGGUCAUUCGAUACUGCCUUGACUAGAGUUCGGUAGGGGAGUGUGGAAUUCCUGGUGGAGCGGUGAAAUGCGCAGAUAUCAGGAGGAACACCCGUAGCGAAGGCGGCACUCUGGGCCGGAACUGACGCUGAGGAGCGAAAGCGUGGGGAGCGAACAGG